rnacentral:lncRNA from 1 species
AGCAAAGUAACGAUUCUUUUGCUCCAGUAGCACGAUCAGAGCCCAGCACCCAGCUUUCAGGCAUUCAGAAGCCUUUUGCUCCUGAUGAGAGGGAGGCACAAGUCUUUCUGUCAAUCACUCAGUCUGCAGCAGCAGACAGAAGAAACAGAACAGACAUCUUCUCCCUAAAAGGAUGCCUUUCAGAUAACUUGUGGUUAGGAUGUUGUUUUAGGCUCAAGAAGCGUGAAUUUCAUGUAUUACUGUUUUCUUUUUUGAAGUACUAAGGGAUUGAAACUAGGGCCUUUGCAUUGAGCAACAUCCUCAGUCCUUUAUUAUUUUUAUUUUAAGGUAGGAUCUUACUAAGACACUAAGUUGUCCUGGCUGGGCUCAACAAGAAGACUACAGGCUUGUGCCACCACAUUCACCUGGGUGCUACAUUUUUAUUCCUGUCAUGAGAUGUGAUCCCACUGGAGAUGCAGUGCAGGGAGCCUGAAGGUCACUCUCCAACAUGUGCCACUUCUGCUCCACUGGACUGUGUCACUCAGCACAAAACUGAGCACCUCAAAGUUCUCCAAUGGAAGACUGGAAAUGAAGCAGGAAUCUAGUUUUCCUCCCUCUCCCA